AUCCAGCUGAUGAGUCCAAAUAAGAUGAAACGCGCAUUCUGGAU
rnacentral:hammerhead_ribozyme from 1 species